AAAGGAGUCAUAAGUCCAAAUACUAAAGAGAGUUAAGAGAAUCAAAUUGAGUGGCUUGAUGAAGCUUGUAAUUCUUCCCAUGUUCUUUGUUCUUCGUAGCUUUAGUAAAGUUCCUUUAUGAUUACCUGUGGAGACCUCUCCGUAUCCAGCAAAUGCUGAAUUCACAGGGAAUCAGAGGACCUCCUUACAGAUUCAUCCAUGGCAACAACAAAGAAGUUGUCAAAAUGAGGCAAGAAGCAUUAAGCAAGCCUAUGGCCUUGAGGCAUGAUAUAUUUCCUAGAGUGCAGCCACAUAUUUACACCUGGAUCAACAAAUAUGGUAAGAUCAAUGCUUGUUUUCACUAUGAUUUCUAAAUUCUAGUUCUAAGAAAAGAUUGACACUUUUGUUUAUUUUCUUUGGUCAGGGAAGAAUUAUCUUUCUUGGGACGGUGUUCGAGCUGAACUUGUGAUUUCAGAACCUGAACUAAUCAAAGAGGUUCUUAAAAAUAGUGAAAAAGCUUUUCCCAAAAGGAAUCCUACAGUUUUCAUUAGCAAGCUAGUAGGGAACGGGCUUGCGACAGUCGAGGGUGAAAAAUGGGUGAAGCAACGGAAGUUGGGGAAUUAUGCUUUUCAUGGGGAAAGCUUAAAGGUGAAACACUCGUAACAUGUGAAUUAGUUCUCUAAAUCAUGCUUACGUAUGUUGUUGCUUACAUGUUGAUGGAUUGUUUAUCCAGAACAUGACACCGGCAGUAAUUGCCAGCGUUGAAACAAUGCUAGAAAAGUGGAAAGGCUAUGUGGGCAAAGAGAUUGAACUGUUUGAAGAAUUUAGAUUAUUAACUUCAGAAGUGAUAUCGAGAACAGCUUUUGGUAGCAGUUACUCGGAAGGGCAGAAAAUUUUUGACAUGUUGAGCAAGUUGGCAAUAAUUUUGCACCGAAAUUUUUUCAAGACCAGAAUUCCUUGGGUCAGGUACGUUCCCUCUAAGCUUAACUUAUCCCUAAAUUAAAAUUGUUGAUUCCCAUGGAUUUCGGGUUUCCUUUUACAGCAAGUUAUGGAAACCUGCUGAUAUUCUUGAGUCGGAAGAACUUGCAAAUGAAAUACAAGGUUGUGUGAUGAAGAUGAUUAAGAAAAGAGGAGACAGAGUUGUGAAUGGAGAAGCUGAUAGCUUUGGCAAUGAUUUUCUAGGAUUACUUGUAAAUGCCUAUCAUGAUUUGGACGACAAAAACAUGCUUUCACUGGGAGACUUGGUAGAUGAGUGCAAAACAUUCUACCUUGCGGGACAAGAUACUGUUAAUUCCUUACUUACUUGGACAGUCUUCCUUUUAGCAAUCCACGGAGAUUGGCAAGAGAAAGCUCGAAGAGAGGUGAUUGAUAUAUUUGGUAACCAAAAUCCACAUCCUGAAAGCAUUGUCAAACUCAAAAUUGUAAGUAAACUAUCAAACCAAUUCAAUAUAUAUCUUGUCUUCCAUGGAUUUGAAUAGUGACAGCAACAUUAAAUUAUGUGAUGUAAUCUGACAUACUGCUAUUCUACAAACAGAUGACCAUGAUCAUUAAUGAAACUUCAAGAUUAUAUGGUCCAGCAAAUGGCCUAAUGAGAAAAACUGGAAGAGAAGUUCAGAUUGGAAAGCUAGUGUUACCUGCUAAUAUAGAUCUCUAUAUUGCAAAUGUUGUACCUCAACAUGACCCUCAACUAUGGGAAGACGAUGUGCAUCUUUUUAAACCAGAGAGGUUCGCAGAAGGAAUUGCCAAAGCUACCAAUUACAAUGCAGCUGCAUUUUGUCCCUUUGGAAUUGGACCUCGGUCUUGUGUUGGUAUGAGCUUUGCAACCACAGAAAUAAAGAUUGCGCUCUCCAUGAUUCUACAACGCUAUACCAUUUCCCUCUCCCCCGCUUAUGUCCACUCACCAAUAUCUGUUAUCACCAUUCAACCACAACAUGGAAUUCAAGUGAUACUCAAAUCACUGCACAGCAAUGUUUAAUGUACAUUGUUGCUAUGAAUUCAGGGUUUAACCUUGUUGGUUUAUGAAUUCGUCUUUAAGAGAUGACAUUUAAUAUGUUAAUUAAAUGUUUACUUUACAAUUUUUUGUGUUAAAACUUCGAUAACCACAAUAUAGAACUAUGGUAAAAUAAGAAAAAAUAAGAAUACACAAAUUUUACAUGAAACCGUUUCGGGAAAAAAUUACCGGUGGAGUAGAAAAAAUUCACUAAUGUUGAAAAAUGAAUGAUACAAGAAAAGUUUCGACUACAUCUAUUUAAAAGUUGAAAAACUUUACUCUAAUCAAUGUCAAAUAGAAAAAGUAUAGUUUUAUACGGAUCUACUUGUACAGCAUAGGAUCCAUACCGCGAAGGUUUCUGUAUUUUAUUUAUUUAACAAGGAUUCAAGUCAUACAAACAUUUUAUUUUACAAAUCAGUACUUAAAUUGUCUAUGUUGUAUUUCUUUUAUUAAAAAAAAAAAAUUCUCCCACAUGAUGUUAUGCAUACCCAAUGGUGAGAAUGAUGUAGAAGAUUCAAGAAAUGGGUAAAUUUUGGCUACACAAAUAAUAAUAUUGGCACGGAAGGAUGGUUAUGAAGUAGAAGCAUAUAGUUAUUAAAGAUAUUCAUCCAUAAAAUAUAGUUAAUUCAACUCUUAAUAACUAAGUAAUUGAUUAUUUUCAUUUUUUUCAACUCUUAAUAACUAAGUAAUUUUUACAUUAUUAUUAUUUUAAUAAUUUAUAUAUAUUUUUAAUUUUUAAAAAAUUAAAUUAAUUUUUAAAAAUUUAAAAUAUAAUUUUAUAAUUAUUUAUUUAAAAUUUUAUAAAUUAUAAAAAUUCGAAUACCUGUCAACCCCUCAAACCCGCCACUGCCUCCAAUUAUUACUAACUACUGUAAAAAGUUUAUUCACGUACUCCGAAUAUUUAUUAUGGUUGCAAGACCUUGCCGACAGAAUUAAAUAAGUACGAUCGAUAAUAUGAGAUGUAUGUACUACGCCUUACAAUUGAAGGCGUGUAAGCACGUGGGAAAUAAAAUGCCCUUUAAAUCUUACUUCCUCUCACCAUAUAGACAACGUAUUGUGGCAAACACCAGUAUCGGCAUCUAUGGCCUAAUUUCAUCUUUACCACGUGGGUCGAUUUUAACAUAUUUAUUAUUUAAUAAUAUUUUUAAAUUUUUUUCUAGAAUUUUAGUUUUUUUAUAUUUUUUUAUUUUCAAAUAAUGCUUUAUCAUAUUUUUUAUACUUUUAUUGCCAAUAUAAUAAUUAAUUUUGAUGUAUUCAAAUCUCGUUUUAAGCGUGGAUUGAAUUUUAACUCAAUUGGUAUAGGUAUUAUUGUUAAUGCAGGAAGAUAUGAGUUCGAGUGGGUUGAAAUGCAUUGUCUUACUAUUUAUAGGUUAGGGAGAGGCUGUGGGUAAUUCUAAACAUUGUGUUAAAAAAACAAAUACGAUUAGAACUUUUAAUGAGAUUGUUAAAAAAAAUCUCUAUUAAUUAAGUAUUUUAGGUCAAAUUUUCUAUUAGGAUUCUAUCGUUUGAAAUUUUGAAUUGGAGAAAUCAUUUUACGGUUCAUUUUCAAGAUUCGUAAUUGUCCUAUUUAAUUAUAUCAUUUCCUAUGUUUGAAUGUACAUUUUUUCUUAAAAAACGUGAAAUAUAAUAUAUUUUACCACUACACUAAAUAAUUAUUAAAUAUAUUUGAGAUUUAUAAAACAAACUUCUUAAAUUAAAAUAAAUUUAAAAGAAAAUCUAAACAUAAUUUGAUGAAAUAGAUAAGAAUAGUGGUGAGGAUGGAGAUUUAGAGAGAAAUAAUGUUUCAUUAUUUUAUUCACUCCCAAUAAGUAGGGAUAUAUAAUGGAAGUAAAUUCAAGGAAUGAAAAUAUUAUUAUAAUGCUACACAUGAUGUUACACUUGUAAGGUCACCUAGUAUUACUAUUUGAAAGGUAGUACAUUUUAGACACGUGUUGUGAUUUUUAAAAUUCAUCAAAAUUAAAAUAUUUUUAUUUAAGAAUAUAUGAGUGAAUUGUCAUAAAAUAUUUAAGAAAAGAACUUAAAAAAUACCAUUUAAGCCGAUUCUGAAGUAGAUUUUCAUCAAGAUUAAAUAUUCUCAAUUGAUUUCUUAAGAGAUUAUAAUGAGUUUCUUUACUUCUUUUGGUUAUACUGUAUCUUGGAUGUUCUUAUUUUCAAGUAUGAACUAAUUUUCUAAAUACCUAGGGAGAUGAACUCUAUGAUGGAUUCUGUUGUUUGAUUUUUAUUUUAUGCAAUAAAUACUUAGUUGUUUGUUGUUAAUUAUGUAUGCUUAAUUCUUAGUUUAAUAUUUUUAAACUAUUGAUCCAUGUUUGAUUUGUCUAAAUCAGAUGAGGAAUAGACCAUAUUUAAGAGUAAAUCUUAUGUAAUAGAGUGGAGUUGCAUGCAAUCCUAGAAAUAGGACGACAUAAAUCUACCGACUUAGAGUCAAAUCUAAUAAGGGAAUCCAUAACACAAAUUAAUGUGAUAAUAGAGUUUUUGAUUAAAAAGAAAUUUCAAUUAAUCAACCUAGAGUUAAUUGCUCUUACUCUCGAAAAAAGAUAUUAACAUAAUUUAAGGAUUUUUACGAAUCAAGUUACUAAGUAAAAAAAUUGCGUAAUUAAGAUUGAUAGUAACAGAAGAAAGCUAGGUGAAUUUUUUUUCUGAGUAUUGUUUUACUUUUUGGUUGUUAAUCAUUUAUUUUUGUAACACCCCUUACUCAUACCCGAGGCCGAGAUAAGGUACGAGGCGUUACCGGAAAAACAUACAAAUAUUAAACUAAAAUACGGGCCAUAAAAUUUCAUUCAUAUUUCAAAACGUUCAUUCACUUACACAUAGUCCCUUAUUUAAGUCUACAAAGCCCAAAACAUACUUUAGAAAGGGUUCGGGACUAAACUGAGAACUUACAAAAAUCUUGAAAAUUUCCUGCUUUAAGGCUCCACACGGCCGUGUCCCAAAGCCACGUUCCAUACACGGCUGAGACACAUGGUCGUGUCUUUGCCUGUGUGGAAUAUACCUAGGCUAUUUUUCAAGCUUUGGUCAACCUUAAUCUCUUACACACUUAUACAAAAUCAAAAGCAUAUAACAUGGUAUUCAUUUAAUGAUUAAAUAUUCUCAAUUAAACCAAAAACAUAACAUUUUUAUAUCAUCAUACAUGUGUCUCUCAUACUCAUUUUACCUUGUUUAUUAUAGUACCACUUAUACAUUUAUACCAAGAUUAUCAUCUUACCAAAUAUCUUCAGCUUAAUCAUCAAGCAUUCAUAUUUAAAACUAGAUCAUAUUUUUAUAAAAUACCACAAUUUAGAUGCGCAAAUAACAUGUUUGCCUAAAACAUUUUAACUCCAUACCCUACAAGCAUUACAUUGAGACUAGUCAUAUAUACAUAUAUACAUGUCAUGAUACAUAUCAUCCUCUUUCUGUUUUCUUAUAAACACAUAUCAUUUAUUUCAUUAUAUCAAUAUUUCAUAUACCAUAGUUUCCAUGUAUUCCACAUAUAUUUAUUUUCCUUCUCCUCCUCUCCAUUCCACAUCCUUAAUGUAUAUAGCAUUCUUGUAAGUACGAUUUCACAAUUUACUAAUAAAUGCUCAUAUCAAACUGUCCACACAAGUCAUAGUCACUUACUUAUUUAUAAUUCGAGCUACAGAGCUCCAAAUUAAGAUCCGUAAAUUUCCCCUGAAACUAGACUCACAUAUCUUUGCACCAUAAAAUUUUCAUAAUUUUUGGUUUAGCCAAUUAGUACAUUUUAUUCAUUAAAAUUUCCCCUGUUUCACAUUCUGACAGUUCUGACCUCUCUUCACUAAAAAUUAAUUAUCUCACAAUACAGAAAUCGGAUAAUGUUCUUGUUGAUUUAUAUUGAAAAUAAACUCAUUAGGGAUUUUAAAAAUAUAAUUUUAAGCCUCUAAUUAUUUUUAUCCAAAUUUUGUGAUUUUCCAAAGUCAGAACCGAGGAUCACAUAAUCAUUCUGAACCAGUCUCACAAAAACAUAAAUAUAUCAAAAUAUAGAACUCCUUUUCUUGCUCUGUUUCUUUUAUAUGAAAAUAGACUCAUUAAACUUUAAUUUAAUAUCUCAUUUAGUCUCUGAUUUAAUUUCUACUAUUUUUGGUGAUUUUUCAAAAUCACGCCACUCCUACUGUCCAAAACAGUUUUAUUGCUAAUUCACUAUUUCACACUUUCUUUGUAUUAACCUCAUUUUAACAUACAUAUCACAAAUCAUUUUCACCACAUUUCAUACAUCACAAGUAUAGGCCCAUGAUCACAAGGUCACCAUAAAAUCAUCCUCAUGUAUAAGUUACUUGUUUAUAACCUUACCACAUCCUGGUCACUUAAUGAACACAUCAUUCACAUAACCAAGUUCAUGCACUUAUUCAUCACAAAACUCACAAAGUAAUACAUAGAGAGUCUCCCGUUGAACACUUUGGAUCAAUCCUCGAUACUUGGUGGUUUCAGCACAUAGCUCCACCCAUCAUAGAGUUCGACUCUCUUGUACACAUGGUGAACACUCAGUACCACCCAUGUGACCUAGCCAAUUUAUCUCGUAGCUCUCUUGUCUACGUGGUGUCCUUCACCUGGAGCCACACAUGCGACCUAGCUACAUAUAUCCUGUAGCUCUCUUGUCUAAAUGGUGUACACAUAGUAUCACCCAUGCGACCUAGCUACAUCAUAAUGUCUUGUAGCUCUCUUGUACACAUGAUGUGCACUCAGCACCAUACAUGUGACCUAGCUACAUACUAUCUGUAUCAUCCAGUCUUUCCGAAGGUUCAAUCGGGAUUUCUCUCUCUUUUCCAACAAUUUCACCAAUCAAGUAAUUAUCCACAAACAUAUUUCCAAUAUUAUUAUAAAAUAUCAUAAUACAAGUAAUAUUGAUGUAUUACUUACAUAUAAACUUACAUCUCAUUUAAUAUCAAUGCAAUAACAUUAAAUUACACAUUGCCUUAUUAAAAAUCAUAUGAACUUACAAUUUCCCAUAAUAUCCAUAAUCAUAGAAAUCACAUUUAUGUAUGAUAAUUCAAUGCAAUUCAUGUACCAUAGACAUAUUUUUAAAUCAAUUCAUAAACUUGGCACCAUAAUCAUUUAAUUUAACAUAAUUCAAUUAAUUCACUAAAUUUAACUUUCAAAUUUAAAUUACAGCAUUAUUGCUGUAUUAUUAUCAUACCAACUUACAUACUUUCAACACCUCGAAAAUUAUAAUAAAUAUAUCAAUUUUACAUUGAAACAUGCAUAAAUUAAUACUUAUUAUAUAUAUGAACUUACCUCGAUACUAAAACGAUCAUUUUACCAACUUUCCCAAUUUUCUAUUUUUCUUUCAUUCUAGGUUCAAAUCUCAUUUUCCGGGAUCUAAAACAUCAUAUUUUACUUAUUUAAUUAAUUUAAUAUUCAAAACAGUCCUUAACUCAAACUUUUGAAAAAUUACAAUUUUGCCCUAAACUUUUGCAUAUUUACACUUUUGCCCCUAGGCUCGGGAAUUAAACUUCAUCCCUUAUUCUUAUGUUUUAUGACAUGAUGAUCACUUUUCCCUUCUAUGGCAACAUCAAAUUCUCACUCUAACAUAUACUUAUGACUAUUAGGUAUUUUUACUGAUUAAGCCCUUUUACUCAUUUUUACUCAAAACCGAGUAGCACAAGUUGUCUAAUAUAAUUUAAAACCUCAUAUUCUAUCAUAAAACAGCAAAAUAAACACAUUUCACCUAUGGUUAUUUUUCCAAAUAUGAAUCCUAGCUUAAAUUAUUGCUAGAAUAAGCUUAAUCAAAUUACCGGGAUUCCAAAAACGUAAAGAACUUGAAAAAUGGGGUUAGAUCAGACUUACUAUUGAGCUUGGAAAGCUUGAAAACCCUAGCCAUGGUUUCCCCCAUGCUAAUUUCGGCCUCCAUGAAAAAGAUGAGUAAAUUUUGGCUUUAUUUUCCCUUUUUAUUUCUUUUAAUUACCAAAUGACCAAAAUGCCCUUCCUUACUAAACUUUCAAAAAUUCCAUCCAUGUCCAAUUUUUGUCCAUCACUUAGAAAUUGGUCAAAUUACUAUUUAAGACCUCCUAAUUAAUAUUUCAAAGCAAUUUCAUACUAGAAACUUCUAGAAUGCAAGUUUUGCAACUUAUUCAAUUUAGUCCCUAACUUCAAAUUGAGCACUUUAUGCAUAGAAUUUCUUCACGAAAUUUUCACACAAUCAUGCAAUCAUAUCAUAGACCUCAAAAUAAUCAUAAAAUAAUUAUUUUUAUCUCAUAUUUUGUGGUCCCGAAACCUCUAUUCCAACUAGACCCAAUUUUGGGCUAUUACAAUUUUCCUAAUUCAUUCUUUGUCCUUUUCGUUAAUUAAUUUAGUUAAUUUUAAUUUUUAAUCAGUCACUCGAUUUAUUCAGUUAAAUAGUAGAAAGCCGAUUUAUUCAAUUUUAAUUUAAAUAAUACCAAUUAAAUCAAUUAACAAAAAUAAGAUGAUUUUUUUGUAAAUAGAAGUGAAUGUCACGUUAACAUUUAGCCACUCUUGACUGAUUGCGUUUGUGGUGACACAUGGUAGAUGGCUCCCAUUAAAAUAUUCAUAAAUAUAAAAAAAUUUGUAGGUUUAAUUAACUUUUGUAACUCCAAAGAACAUCAGCAUUAGCCAUUAUUUUAUUAUAAGGCGAAAUAUGUGGCAAACACUAUUAUUUAAUUAUUGAAAUCCUAAGUUUUUUAUAUUUUCAUAUUUUCUAUUUUCAAAUAUUACUCACGUUAUGUUAAAUUGACAAAAAUAUUUAAAAAGUUUAACUCCAAAAACUAUUUUGAAUUACAAUCAUUAAUAAUUAUUAUAAUAUUUAAAAUAAAAAAUAAAUAAAUGAUAAUUAUUUAAUUUACGAGUAAAUAUAUAUUAAAAUUUUCUUAUUAAUAAAUAUCUACUUAAUUUUUUAAAAGAUCCCUCGAAACCGAUAACUUGAUCAACAAACCCACCAUUUUAUUUUUCAAUAUAAUCAUAUUUAAUUUUGUAUACUUUUUGUAUUCUAAAAUUUCAAUCUUAAUUCAAAUAAUAUCCUCUAAAUUUAUUAACAAAAACAACAUGAUUUCUUUUAAUAUUAUAUGUUAAUAUCAUGUUACGUGUGAUAAUAUAUUUAUUGUAUAAAUUUAUUUAAAAUUAAAAUAGAAAAUAGAAAAUCUAAAUUUAUAAAAAUAAAAACCUAUAACAUAUUUUAACUUAAUUCUAAUAUGAAACUUCAAUCGUUCUUUUGUGAUCAUUGAUUUAUAAAAAUUCGAGUUUUAUUAAUAAAAGUCAACCAAAUCAGUAACCACUAAAGGCCUAAUACCCUUGGAAAUGUACUAUAAUUAAAUUAUCAUUUUGGUAUUUGUACUAUUUUUAUCAGUUUAGUCCAUGUACUUUCAUUCUAUAUAUUCCGUUGUCUCAAUUGAAUUUUCUAUUAAAAACAUUAAACCUAUGAAUGACAUGUUGUCACGUGUAAAAAAUUUAGAAAAUAAUUGAAAAUUAAAAAGAUAUUAAAAUUUUUAAAAAAUUAUGAAAAUAGUUUCCCAAAUCCAAAAAUAUGACAACUUAGAAUAUUUUUAAAAUUUUUAAAAAUCAUAACUUUUUGAGUUUUAAUAUUUUUGUGGAAUUUAAAAAUUAUGAUUUCUUUUUGUAAAUUUAAGAAGUUUUUAGUUUUUCAAUAUUUUAAAAUUUUCAAGUGAAUUUAAAUAUUUUGACACGUGGCAGCAUGUCAUUGAUUGCUCUAUUUUUUUUAACAAAUUUAGAUUGGGUCACGGGAAUUAUAGAAAUAAUAAUAAGUUGAUAGGAAUUUUACAUUACGGUCCAAUUUAAAAGCAAAACAAGCUCUGGGAUAUAAUAGAAUGCAAAGAAUGAAAGGAGUCAUAAGUCCAAAUACUAAAGAGAGUUAAGAGAAUAAAAAAUGAGUGGCUUGAUGAAGCUUGUAAUUCUUGUCCCAUGUUCUUUCUUCUUUGUAGCUUUAGUAAAGUUCCUUUGCGAUUACCUGUGGAGACCUCUCCGUAUACAGCAAAUGCUGAAUUCACAGGGAAUCAGAGGACCUCCUUACAGAUUCAUCCAUGGCAACAACAAAGAAGUUGCCAAAAUGAGACAAGAAGCAUUAAGCAAGCCUAUGGCCUUGGGGCAUGAU
rnacentral:lncRNA from 1 species